rnacentral:rRNA from 1 species
UACGAAGGGGGCUAGCGUUGUUCGGAAUUACUGGGCGUAAAGCGUAUGUAGGCGGAUCGUUAAGUCGGGGGUGAAAUCCCGAGGCUCAACCUCGGAACUGCCUUCGAUACUGGCGAUCUUCGAGUCCGGGAGAGGUGAGUGGAACUCCGAGUGUAGAGGUGAAAUUCGUAGAUAUUUGGAAGAACACCAGUGGCGAAGGCGGCUCACUGGCCCGGUACUGACGCUGAAAUACGAAAGCGUGGGGAGCAAACAGG